ensembl:ncRNA ZK1086.5 ncRNA
CUAUAUAUAGAUGUUUAAAUCUUAAAUUGAUUUAAAAACUAAUAGCCAGGCAUGAUUUUUCAACUGUUAUCUGGAUCAGAGAGAGAGGCUAUCAAAAAUUAUUAGCAGUUCUACAACUGCCAGCUUUAAAAAAAUUUUGUUGAUUGGCAAUUUUGGUAAUAUUCAAUAGUCCAGCAAGUGUACAUCUAUCAAAA